GUACUUACCUGGCAGGAGAGACACUAUGAUCACGGAAGUGGUUUUCCCAGGGUGAGGCUUAUCCAUUGCACUCCAGAUGUGCUGACCUCUGCAAUUUCCCCAGAUGUUGGAAACUCGCCUGCAUAAUUUCUAGUAGAGGGAGACUAAGUUCGCACUCGCCUC